rnacentral:rRNA from 1 species
CACGUGUGCAACCAACCCCGUACCGGGAGAUAACCCGCGGAAACGUGGACUAACACCCCAUAACACCUUUCCCCCGCAUGGGGGAGAGUUUAAAAUCACGAAGGUACGGGACGGGCACGCGCGACAUUAGGUAGUUGGCGGGGUAACGGCCCACCAAGCCGACGAUGUCUAGGGGUUCUGAGAGGAAGGUCCCCCACACUGGAACUGAGACGCGGUCCAGACUCCUACGGGAGGCAGCAGUGAGGAAUAUUGGUCAAUGGGCGAGAGCCUGAACCAGCCAAGUCGCGUGAGGGAAGAAUGGUCUAUGGCCUGUAAACCUCUUUUGUCAAGGAAGAAUAAGCGGCACGAGUGCCACCUUGCCAGUACUUGACGAAUAAGCAUCGGCUAACUCCGUGCCAGCAGCCGCGGUAAUACGGGGGAUGCGAGCGUUAUCCGGAUUUAUUGGGUUUAAAGGGCGCGUAGGCGGGACGUCAAGUCAGCGGUAAAAGACUGCAGCUAAACUGUAGCACGCCGUUGAAACUGUCGACCUGGAGACGAGACGAGGGAGGCGGAACAAGUGAAGUAGCGGUGAAAUGCAUAGAUAUCACUUGGAACCCCGAUAGCGAAGGCAGCUUCCCAGGCUCGAUCUGACGCUGAUGCGCGAGAGCGUGGGUAGCGAACAGGAUUAGAUACCCUGGUAGUCCACGCCGUAAACGAUGCUCACUGGAUCUUGGCGAUACACGGCCAGGGUUCAAGCGAAAGUAUUAAGUGAGCCACCUGGGGAGUACGUCGGCAACGAUGAAACUCAAAGGAGUUGACGGGGGCCCGCACAAGCGGAGGAACAUGUGGUUUAAUUCGAUGAUACGCGAGGAACCUUACCCGGGUUUAAAUGCAAGUUGCAUGAGGUGGAAACACCUCUUUCCCUCGGGACUACCUGCAAGGUGCUGCAUGGUUGUCGUCAUCUCGUGCCGUGAGGUGUCGGGUUAAGUCCCAUAACGAGCGCAACCCCUAUCGCCAGUUGCCAUCGGUUCAAGCCGGGCACUCUGUCGAGACUGCCACCGUAAGGCGCGAGGAAGGCGGGGAUGACGUCAAAUCAGCACGGCCCUUACACCCGGGGCGACACACGUGUUACAAUGGCCGGUACAGAGGGCAGCCACGGGGCGACCCGGAGCGAAUCUCUAAAGCCGGUCGUAGUUCGGACUGGAGUCUGCAACCCGACUCCACGAAGUUGGAUUCGCUAGUAAUCGCGCAUCAGC